rnacentral:lncRNA from 1 species
UUGAUAUUUGUAAUUCAAUUAGACAUGCAUUGAUUAUUAGUUAUAACUCAAUUGUUUUACUACACAUUUUUUGGUGUAUUUAAUUGGUUAGAACGAGGGUAUUCACAUAUUAACAUUCACAGCACUAAAGGUGUUAUUCUUUUUAAAUGUUACGCUCUAGGAUAAUGACUUACCAGACAUCAGUUAGAACAAUAACAAUAGAACACCCAUAUAGUUAAUAGAAAUAAGAAGAUGUGGUACCAGUAACAACAAGUCUUCAUCCAAGUCACAAUGUGUAAAAAGUAAACAAUCAAAGAUGAAUUAAAGUACGUGGCAUUCAACACGGAGCCUUGGCUCACACCCAACAUCAAGCUAUAAAGCGACCCAAAAUGACAAGUGUAAAAUAAUUCAAACAGGAAAACCAACGGUCUAAUCUAGAUAAAAAUCGAGAAAGGAAAAGCAGUUAUGAACCACAUCAACAAAAGACAAUCACUAUAAGUUCCUGAAUUAGGACAGGUGCAAACCAAUGCAGCGGGGUUAAACAUUUCAACAGCCGCCAACCUUCAGCCAGCCUUAGACCCGGAUAAUCCAGUCGAUUUAAAUGUGUUACAGUGGUUCGGUAGCUGUCCCAAAGACGUAUUCACGUCUCUUUUUAUCAAUAAAUAUCAAAUAAAAAUACUAUACACAUUGGAAUACUAUAUAACAC